rnacentral:rRNA from 1 species
GACGAACGCUGGCGGCGUGCUUAACACAUGCAAGUCGAGCGGUAAGGCCCUUUCGGGGGUACACGAGCGGCGAACGGGUGAGUAACACGUGGGUGACCUGCCCUCAGCUCUGGGAUAAGCCUGGGAAACCGGGUCUAAUACUGGAUAUGACUCCAUGACGCAUGUUGUGGGGUGGAAAGCCUUGUGCGGCUGAGGAUGGGCCCGCGGCCUAUCAGCUUGUUGGUGGGGGUGANGGCCUACCAAGGCGACGACGGGUAGCCGGCCUGAGAGGGCGACCGGCCACACUGGGACUGAGACACGGCCCAGAUUCCUACGGGAGGCAGCAGUGGGGAAUCUUGCGCAAUGGGCGAAAGCCUGACGCAGCGACGCCGCGUGAGGGAUGACGGCCU